rnacentral:RNase_P_RNA from 1 species
GAGGAAAGUCCGGUCUCUAUUUAGAAUAGUACAGCUAUAUAAAAAAUAGUAUAGGUAACUAUGAGGAAAGUGCCACAGAAAUAAACCGCCAUAUUUUUAGGUAAGGGUGCAAAGGUACAUUAAGAGUGUACCAGUAAUAUGAUUAAAAUGUUAGCUAGGUAAACCCCGUAUUAAGAGUAAAGUUAUGUAUAUUGUUAUAAUUUUCUAUAUAAAUAAACAAUUAUAAGUAUUUAUUAAGACUGCAAGAAGUUCUAAUAUAAAAAACUUUAGAUAAAUGACUACCCUUGAUGCAAUGUAUCAAUAUGCUAUGCAUUAAAGAACAGAAUCCGGCUUAU